CUUUCACUUUCUCCUUAAUGCUCAAUUUUCUCUUCAUGCCUAGACCGUACCUCGAUCAAGAUGCACAGAAAGCUGUCUCCCUGGAUAUUCCAGAAAAGUUCAGGAAGGGAAGCCGCCCUGCUGCUAUGAUUGUUCUCCCUGCUCAGAAGUAACCAUCUCCACUCAGGAAGGUAGGAGAGGAACUCAGAGAAAAUGGUCUUUGAUGGGAGGAUGGGGCAAAUAUUUGAACUACUGCAAACAUGAUGUUAGUAAUGGCUAGUUCCAUCAUCUGUCAGGUGGGGACCAUUGGCAUUCUCAGAGAACAAUGGAGGCAUUCAUGAUGAGUUCAAACACUGUCAGGUGUGGACAGUCCUCGCCUCCCUUUGGUAACUGCACAGAUAAGAAUUAAUGAACCGUUUAUAAUUUAUACUCUUUUUAUUCCGUCAUCUGGCUGCAAGCAAAGAUCCACAUCCCUCCACAAGGAGAGCAGUUGGCUACUCUAAAUCCUCCCCCCUCUACCCCGCACAACAUCCUGGCGCCAACGAGAAGUUCCUUCUCCUCUCUGCAUUCUUUGUUCUCUAAUACAGAUGGACCUCCUAGUUUGUGGGGAGGGAGGGUCCCCCAGACUCUCCUAUGUUCCCUCCCUUCUGUUCUCUUUCCAUUAUCUCGUAGCUAGGUAACUCUUGUGUAAUCUGCUCGGUGUCUGUGUCUCUCCCUCUUCAGAAAGGAGCUGAUCUGCCUGAGAAUGCAAUCCCCAAUCCUCUGAUUCAGAGCAUGCCCUGACAGGCACCUCUUUUUCUAGAAAAUAGCACUGGAAAUAAGGAAAGGAAAGGAAGAUAUAGUCUAGUAGCACCUUAGAGACCAACUAAGUUUGUUCUAUGUCUGCGCUACUCUGAAACAGAAGUCACCAGACCCUUAUACAGUGGUACCUCAGGUUAAGUACUUAAUUCGUUCUGGAGGUCCGUACUUAACCUGAAACUGUUCUUAACCUGAAGCACCACUUUAGCUAAUGGGGCCUCCUGCUGCCGCCACACCGCCGGAGCACAAUUUCUGUUCUCAUCCUGAAGCAAAGUUCUUAACCUGAAGCACUAUUUCUGGGUUAGCAGAGUCUGUAACCUGAAGCUUAUGUAACCUGAGGUACCACUGUAUAUAGUGGGAGGGUGGGGUGGGGUAUUUCUCAGAAGGGUACUAGGGGGUGGGUGAUUAGCUCAAUGGGUAUGGUAAAUAUGCUGAAGACUGAUAACGACUGCAAUUAGUCAUAAAGGAACAAAGCAAUGGAUAGUAUGCAGAUGACCAAAAAUAGCUUUCACAUGUGUAAUGAGACAUGAAUCCAAUGUCUCUAUUCAGACCAGGUCUCUCCAUAGUUUCCCCACCCCUAAGAAAACUUAAGGAUAUAAGAAAGGACUUGCUGCAUAGAAAGAACAGCCCUCCCACCCCCAUGUGAUCUGCAGCAACUAGUGUUCAAAGGCAUUCAAAGGACACCUCCAAUGUUGCAGGGAGCACGUGUCAAUGAAUCAGGUCCUGGGGACUUUCUUGAUGAGUGAGGGGAAAGUGAGCAAGAGUGCCAGGGUGUAUUGGGUUCACCAAACCUGUGGCUUCAGGAGGGUUCGCAUCCUGCCAUGGAGUCAGUCAGCACUAGGGCCAGAGAGACAAUUUCUGAGAGGUCUCAGCAGAUCAGGAAAGGAGAUAGUGCCACACAAUAAUACUACUCCAACUUCCUCGGAGGAAUCAUGGAACACUAAUGUAAUACUUUAUUUUGGAAAUUAUUAUUCUAGCUUCCAUUUAUUAUAAAUAAAGUUGGGGUUUAACACAUCUGCUUCUCAAUACAGUGGUUACAAUCAGGUUACAUACACUUCUGGUUACAUACACUUCAGGUUACAGACUCCGCUAACCCAGAAAUAGUGCUUCAGGUUAAGAACUUUGCUUCAGGAUAAGAACAGAAAUCAUGCUCCAGGAGCGCAGUGGCAGCAGGAGGCCCCAUUAGCUAAAGUGGGGCUUCAGGUUAAGAACAGUUUCAGGUUAAGAACGAACCUCCGGAACAAAUUAAGUACUUAACCAGAGGUACCACUGUAUUCAAACAUAACAAGAAGCUGCCAUUAUACUGAGUCAAUCUAUUGAUCCAUUUAACCCACAGUUGUCUAAUCCAGGGGUUCAUUAUUUUUUCCUGGUCUUUGCACUAGACGUUAAUUUUUAGCGGUGAAUAAUAGCAGUUGAGUGCUGCUGCCAACCUGUCAAUCACCAAUAGUGCUGUCAGCAAAUUUCAAGUGUGUGACUGAUGUUAGGAUACCGAAGUGUGUUUUUCUCUAUGCAGAUGCUAAUGAAUGCACCAGAUGUCCAGAAGAUCAGCAUCCAAAUGA